rnacentral:misc_RNA from 1 species
CUCCCUCUCUAUCAGUUUGAUGAAAUUGCCAACAAUUGUCUUGCCUUCUGAUGUUAUAAUGCUUUCUGGAUGGAACUGUACCCCCUGCAGAUGCUUAUACUUUUUGUGACGAGCAGCCAUUAUUAGUCCAUCCUCUGUCCAUGCUGUAAUCUCAAGUUCUUCACUAGGGAAACUCUCCUUUUCAAUCACUAAGCUAUGAUAUCUCCCAGCAGUGAAUGGGUUUGGUAACCCAGAAAACAAGCCAUCUUCCCCUUUCUCAUCAUAAUAUACGAGAGAACUUUUCCCAUGCAUGACACCAUAAGGAGAACGCACAACCUUCCCUCCAAAAGCCUCUCCAAUGCACUGCAGCCCCAUACACACACCAAACAAGGGCACUAGAGGUCCAAGCUCCAAAACAGUUUGCAAUGAUAUUCCAGAAUCUUGUGGUGUGCCUGGUCCUGGGGAUAUAAGCACCCCUCUUGGAUUUUUCCUUUUUAACUCUUCCACAGUUAACUCAUCAUUCCGAUAAACCUCAAAGUGGCAUCCUAACUCCCCCAUGUACUGGCAAAGAUUAUAAGUAAAGCUAUCAUAGUUGUCAAUGACAAUUAUGGGAUUCUUCAUCUCCCUAUUAAUCGAAACCGCAGCCGAAGAAUUCGAUCCUGUGACGGCCAUUGAACACUUUGCAACGAACCCAUUUUCCCUCUUCGCCUCAAAGUUCAAUUUUGAUGGAAGAGAGACGGUUGAGGGGGAAGGUAGACGAGGGUUUUGAAGCAUCUCGAGGGGAAUAGAGGGUUUGUAUUGAAAGAGAGACUGUGAAAGCAGACUUGCAGCCAUAGUAGAAGUCACAGAGCACUGCAGAUAGACUUUGGAAAGAAGCGUUUAGAUUCCCAGCGAAAAGAGAAAUGGAUUUAUUGCUGGCAGCUACCCAUUUAUAGACAUUAAAGAUAUAAUUUUGCAAUUCC